rnacentral:rRNA from 1 species
UACGGGGGGGGCAAGCGUUGUUCGGAAUUACUGGGCGUAAAGGGCUCGUAGGCGGCCAACUAAGUCAAACGUGAAAUCCCUCGGCUUAACCGGGGAACUGCGCUUGAUACUGGAUGGCUUGAGAUUGGGAGAGGGAUGCGGAAUUCCAGGUGUAGCGGUGAAAUGCGUAGAUAUACGGAGGAACACCAGCGGCGAAGGCGGGUAGCUGGGCCAACACUGACGCUGAUGCGCGAAAGCUAGGGUAGCAAACGGG